UGGGGUGGCCGAGUGUAACAGCAACUCCAUGUGGACCGUGUCCAAGCCCAGUGGAGAUGCUGUUACUCUCGGCGGCUUCCA
rnacentral:pre_miRNA from 1 species